AUGCUUAUUUAUGUUUAUCUAGUUACGUUACAAAAAUACAACAUCAUUGAAGAUUAGCAUGGCCCCUGCUCAAGGAUGACACGCAAAAUCGUGAAGCGUUCCGUAUAUUU
rnacentral:snRNA from 1 species